GCCGUUGUGGGCGAUUGUGUUGUUCUAGUUUAGCUGUGGUGCCAUUUUGGCUGGUUGAAAUCUUUGCCCAAUUCCACGCCUGGAUGACUUGAAAAAUAGUCAGCCGUGGCAAUUUUUGACGGUCUCUAACGAGA